rnacentral:rRNA from 1 species
UACAGAGGGGGCAAGCGUUAUUCGGAAUUAUUGGGCGUAAAGGGCGCGUAGGCGGCGAUUCAAGUGGCGGGUGAAAUCCCUCGGCUUAACCGAGGAACUGCCUGUCAGACUGGGUUGCUUGAGACCGGGAGAGGCGAGUGGAAUUCCCAGUGUAGCGGUGAAAUGCGCAGAUAUCAGGAAGAACACCAAUGGCGAAGGCAGCUCGCUGGGACGUUACUGACGCUGAGACGCGAAAGCGUGGGGAGCAAACAGG